GGCUAGGUAGCUCAGCUGGUUAGAGCACAGCACUCAUAAUGCUGGGGUCGGCGGUUCGAGUCCGCCCCUAGCUACCA
rnacentral:tRNA from 1 species